CACGUAGGGCGCAAGCGUUGUCCGGAAUUAUUGGGCGUAAAGAGCUCGUAGGCGGUCUGUUGCGUCCGCUGUGAAACUCGGGGCUUACCCCGAGCCUGCAGUGGAUACGGGCAGACUAGAGGUAGGUAGGGGAGAAUGGAAUUCCCGGUGUAGCGGUGAAUGCGCAGAUAUCGGGAGGAACACCGGUGGCGAAGGCGGUUCUCUGGGCCUUACCUGACGCUGAGGAGCGAAAGCGUGGGGAGCGAACAGG
rnacentral:rRNA from 1 species